GAGCUCCCGAGGCCCUGGGCUGGGGCAGAGUGCGUGUUUUUGGGGGCACACGUUCCUGCUCGGGAGCAACCGGAGUGAAUUGAUGCUCACACACCUAACAAGGGCUGUGUGGGUGCACGUUGCAGGGCUUGCAGAGAAAAAUAUCCAGCGCUGCGUGCUCAUGGUCUCAGUCUUGCAGGUUUUUUUUGCAGUUUAUGUACCUUUACUGCUCUGUGCCUUUACCUCUCUGGUAUAAAAGCACAGCUCUGUAAGCAUGUGCCCAAUGCCAACUGCUCCUCUGUGCUCAACCCGAUGGUUUUGAAAACUCAGUGGUGAUAGGUGUGUGUGAUUUUACAUGCAGCAUGUAUGACCUUACACGCAGUGCGUGGUUUUACACGCAGCGUGUGUAGAUGAGGGCAUAAGGAGUUGUACCUGUGUGCUGCUGGGGUGCGCCCUGUGCCGCCGGUCACCGACACCAGCCUGGCUGCAGAGGGCAGCGCUUUGCAGCAGGCAUGAAGCUAAGGGGUUUGGCCUCAUAAAGGCCUGUCCUAUAACUAUACAAAUGAUAUAGCUAUAAUGUUAUAACCUAUACAAAUAAUGUAACUAUUUGGUUAGUGCAUAAAUAUGGUUAGGGUUAUAUUUUGCUGCUGAAACAUCUACUUUAUUUUUUUUUUCCAUUUGAGGGUGAAGGUGCAAGCUAAUGGAAGGUUUUGUAGAUAAUUUUCUGUUGGUUCUCCCCCUGCCGGGGGGAGACACUAAGAAUGCCGUUCAUUUGCAAACUCAGGUGUCCAUGGAUGUAGUUUUAUAGCAAUGCCUACAGCAGUUGGUAUUGAUGCACAGUGAUAGUUCUAGUCUACCUGUCGCUAUUUUCUAUAAAUCUUACUGUGGUGCUACUGAAAAAAAAAAAAAAAAAAAAAAGAAGCUCAGGUCACCUUGCAUGGGAAAUUGUAGAAUCUGAGUAAGAACCACCUCAGCUGAUUUUAAUAAAUGUAAUCCCGACUGCUAUGAGCUGUGCCAUCUGUAACAUUAUGCAAUGUAUCUCUUACGUACAGGAGUACAGGAGAUGUGACAUUCUGCGUGGCAGUGGCAGUGACAGGACAGCAUCUGAUAGCUCUGCUCUGCAGUGUGGUGGCAGUGAUCUUCAGCAACUUCUCAUCUGUUUUUGCAAUGGCCACAAGCGAGAUGAUGACUUUGUCCGGCUAAAACCUUUAGAGUAUAAGAAGUGAGAUAUUUCUGAGAUGAUCUGAUACAGCAGCUUGGCAUGGAUGAAAGUCUGGUUUCCACUUUAA
rnacentral:lncRNA from 1 species